rnacentral:rRNA from 1 species
GACGAACGCUGGCGGCGUGCUUAACACAUGCAAGUCGAACGAAAAGAGGGAAAGAGCUUGCUCUUUCCGGAAUUGAGUGGCAAACGGGUGAGUAACACGUAAACAACCUGCCUUCAGGAUGGGGACAACAGACGGAAACGACUGCUAAUACCGAAUAAGUUCCAAGAGCCGCAUGGCCCAUGGAAGAAAAGGUGGCCUCUACCUGUAAGCUAUCGCCUGAAGAGGGGUUUGCGUCUGAUUAGCUGGUUGGAGGGGUAACGGCCCACCAAGGCGAUGAUCAGUAGCCGGUCUGAGAGGAUGAACGGCCACACUGGAACUGAGACACGGUCCAGACUCCUACGGGAGGCAGCAGUGGGGAAUCUUCCGCAAUGGGCGAAAGCCUGACGGAGCAACGCCGCGUGAGUGAUGACGGCCUUCGGGUUGUAAAACUCUGUGAUCCGGGACGAAAAGGCAGAGUGCGAAGAACAAACUGCAUUGACGGUACCGGAAAAGCAAGCCACGGCUAACUACGUGCCAGCAGCCGCGGUAAUACGUAGGUGGCAAGCGUUGUCCGGAAUUAUUGGGCGUAAAGCGCGCGCAGGCGGCUUCCCAAGUCCCUCUUAAAAGUGCGGGGCUUAACCCCGUGAUGGGAAGGAAACUGGGAAGCUGGAGUAUCGGAGAGGAAAGUGGAAUUCCUAGUGUAGCGGUGAAAUGCGUAGAGAUUAGGAAGAACACCGGUGGCGAAGGCGACUUUCUGGACGAAAACUGACGCUGAGGCGCGAAAGCGUGGGGAGCAAACAGG